CCAGAGUAGACCAUCUUAAAUUCAUGAUUGCCUUCUUUGGUUGUGCAAGCUGUAGCCCAGUUUAAUAGUGCCUUAUAAUUUUACCUGGCAGUUAUAUGAAACAACCCAGGAACACAAAGGAACAAUAUUGACCCUUCAGGAGAAGUUGGAAGCUCUAGAAAGGAAUUCCACUGAUCACCAGAAGAUUUUAGAUGAAGCUAAUGGCAAGCAUAAAAUGGUUCUUGAUAAACUUAAUGAGGAGAGAGCCUUGUUAGAGGCUAAACUUCAUAAGACAGAAGAAGAAUUAAAAGUAGCAAGUUUCAAGGCUGAGAAAGGGUAAUUAGAAAUAAAAGCAUGCUCAUGUUCUUCCAUUAAAUGAUUUGAUUCCUGUUGCAUUAUUUUUGUCAGUGACAAUAAUGCACAUAGCAAAGU